GCUCAGGACGAACGCUGGCGGCGUGCCUAAUACAUGCAAGUCGAACGCUUCUUUUUCCACCGGAGCUUGCUCCACCGGAAAAAGAGGAGUGGCGAACGGGUGAGUAACACGUGGGUAACCUGCCCAUCAGAAGGGGAUAACACUUGGAAACAGGUGCUAAUACCGUAUAACAAUCGAAACCGCAUGGUUUUGAUUUGAAAGGCGCUUUCGGGUGUCGCUGAUGGAUGGACCCGCGGUGCAUUAGCUAGUUGGUGAGGUAACGGCUCACCAAGGCCACGAUGCAUAGCCGACCUGAGAGGGUGAUCGGCCACAUUGGGACUGAGACACGGCCCAAACUCCUACGGGAGGCAGCAGUAGGGAAUCUUCGGCAAUGGACGAAAGUCUGACCGAGCAACGCCGCGUGAGUGAAGAAGGUUUUCGGAUCGUAAAACUCUGUUGUUAGAGAAGAACAAGGAUGAGAGUAACUGUUCAUCCCUUGACGGUAUCUAACCAGAAAGCCACGGCUAACUACUGG
rnacentral:rRNA from 1 species